UACAGAGGUGGCAAGCGUUGUUCGGAAUUACCGGGCGUAAAGGGCGCGUAGGCGGCCUUCUAAGUCGGACGUGAAAUCCCUCGGCUUAACCGAGGAACUGCGUCCGAUACUGAAAGGCUUGAAUCCGGGAGAGGGAUGUGGAAUUCCAGGUGUAGCGGUGAAAUGCGCAGAUAUCAGGAGGAACACCGGUGGCGAAGGCGGUUCUCUGGGCAUGUUCUGACGCUGAGGAGCGAAAGUGUGGGGAGCGAACAGG
rnacentral:rRNA from 1 species